AGAAGUGGGGCUGAGUUCCCCAGUGCCCUGUAAGGGAACCAAAGGUGGUGAGGACUCCAGCAAGGCUGCUGUGCCAAAGUUCCACCAUUCCCAACAAUGCUGCCAUGGGCACCACACUGUGAGUGUGCCAGCCUCUGUGGACCUUCAGGGACUGGAGUGUCCCUCCAGGAUAGCAACUGGGAGUAAGGGGAGCCAGUCCUAAAGGAAGCAAGUACAUAACGAACAAGAAAUGGAUGGUUGCUGAAUUAAUGAAUAUUUAGAGAACACACUGGGUGAUGGGAAAAGGAAACGGACACAACACACAACAAGACAAGGAUUCCAGAAUGAGCCUGAUAGUGAUAAGCAACACAUGAUUUGGAGGGGCUUCAUGUCUUCCCAGAAUUGUCUUGCCUCUGGGUGAGUUAUCAGUACAUAGGUGGAGUCCAGAAACACAUAGCUAAGAUUUACAAGAAGAUGUACUAUUCCAUCUCGUCCAUUAUGGGACGGCCACUUACUGGUUGUGCAAUCCUGGGAAAUUAUGCCUACAGUUCCUGAUCUAUAAAGUGGAAAUGAUAAAGAACCCAUAUGUCAGGGUUGUUG